rnacentral:misc_RNA from 1 species
ACAGCACAAACUGCUUCAUUCUGGUCAAUGACAAUUACAUGCAAAAAGGUGCAUUACCGCAGGAAGCUCAGGGCAAAUUUCAGUUGAGUUGAUGCAACCUUAUUAAUAAUUGCAAGCACCUUUGCUAUUCUGAUUAAAUAUCAACAAUGCCCAUGGCUUCUGCUCAUAGAAUGCCGUCUAAGGAGCUUUUGACCAGGAGUUUGAUGAUCAUCCUUGUAUAAUGAUGCUGCUGACUCGGAUUGUACUGUUUGAAUUGGAAUAUGCCCAAGUGAUCGCAGUGCAUCCAGCGCAUCCAACGUCAGCUGCCACCCACAGAGUGCAUCUGCAUCAG